CCAUGACAUCCCCCAUCUCCUUCGGAAAUGUUAAUGAGGGCCGGAGGUGACAUGAAGAAAUGAGUAAUCAGAACAAACAGUGGAUCUCCCAUGGUGCCAAGGGGCAACGCCGUCAGGAAAGGUUAGACUUCCUUCGUUCAGUGAGCUAGUGACCCCCAUGACAUGCACCCACACACACGUCCUCAUCAACCAAUCGCAUCCCUGUAUUGGUACGAGGAAGAGCCAAGGAUGAGGAAACCUAUAUAUUGGUGGCGCCACUGUUACGUGACACUUCGACAGGGCUGUUUUGUGUGUGGACCAACAACCAACUUCCUUCUCUGACAUCCAGCCGCUGUUUUGUUUUCCAAUAGGAUAAUUAUUGUUGAACAUCCAGUCUAAGAUUAAUCACUGCUGAAUACAGCAUUGAAGGAUAGUCAGUAUACAGUUUAACCAAUAGGAAAGGUACAGACAGGGGAGAUGCUGUGUUCCCAGCUGCAGGUGUUACUGGUGGCUCUGUCUGCCUCAGUGUUGCUGGCGAGGGUCAGCGCCGCUCCACACAGAGACAUGCUAGCUGAACUACUGAGAGCAGAUACAACCAAGGGCAACGAGAUCACAGGUGGUUAGUGGCAUCUUAAUUGGGCAGGACAGGCUUGUGGUAAUGGCUGGAGCGGAAUCAGAGGAAAGGUAUCAACAACAUUAAACACAUGGUUUCUGUGUGUUUGAUGCCGUUCC
rnacentral:lncRNA from 1 species